CUCUCAUUCCCUCUUGUCUGCUGCCAUGUGUCUUGUGUCUUUCACCAUGAUUGUGAGGCCUCCCCUGCCGCGUGGAACUGAGAAAAGAAAUUUCUUCCACCUCACCACAGCCCUGCGAUUGUCAGGAGAAAUUUCCUGUUAGCAAGGCCAGAUCCAGGAGAAGAGUCCAGAUGUCUCUCUGCUAGCCUAAACACCAUUUGGCAUCUCUUUCCUUUUUACUGAAGCUUUGAAGAAAAUAGGAAUAGAACCAGAUCUAGUAAAUUACCUGGGGACUGAAACAUCUUUGAUAUACGUCUUGAGAACAUCGCAACAUAUUUCUUUUCCUCCUUCAGAGCAUUAGCUUUGCCGCUUCUCGGAACCCUAAAUGACAGAAACAAUGACAGACGGAUUGGACAGCGAGUCUCGCUUCCCUGGUGCCAAAUACAGACCAAAAUAGCCUAAGCGCCCCUUUCCAAAGUCUUGAGACUGAAAAAAUAUAUAUAUGAUAUGCAUAUGUAUCCAUAUUUAUUUAUUAACUACUUGGUUACACUACAGCUGCUUUAUUAGAAUAUUUUAAUAUCAGAUUAAUACAGUGGUUAUGAUAGCAGGCUUGAUUAAGAAGGUUACCUUGAUUACGAUCCAAACUCAACCACUUACUAGCUGUGUAAAUCUGGAAAAGUUGUGUAAAUCUCUUUGCCUCAGUUUCCCGAUAUAAAAUAAUUAUAAUAGAACCUACCUCAAAAGGGUGUUGUAAAGAUUAAAUGUUAAUGCAUCUAAAGUACCUAAUACGUACCUAACUCAUAGUAAGUACUCAAUACAUGAUAGUGAGAGGUGACAGCGUGCUGGCAGUCCUCAGAGCCCUCACUUGCUCUUGGCACCUCCUCUGCCUGGGCUCCCACUUUGGCAGCAUUUGAGGAGCCCUUCAGCCCCCCACUGCACUGUGGGAGCCCCUUUCUGGGCUGGCCAAAGCCGGAGCCCACUCCCUCAGCUUGCAGGGAGGUGUGGAGGGAGGCACGAGCGGGAACCGGGGCUGCGUGCGGCGCUUGCGGGCCAGCUGGAGUUCCGGGUGGGCGUGGGCUUGGUGGGCCCCGCACUCGGAGCAGCCAGCCAGCCCUGCUGGCCCCAGGCAAUGGGGGACUUAGCACCCGGGCCAGUAGCUGCGGAGGGUGUACUGUGUCCCCCAGCAGUGCCAGCCCACCGGCGCUGCGCUCGAUUUCUCGCCGGGCCUUAGCUGCCUUCCCGCGGGGCAGGGCUCGGGACCUGCAGCCCGCCAUGCCUGAGCCUCCCACCCACUCCAUGGGCUCCUGUGCGGCCCGAGCCUCCCCGACGAGCACCACCCCCUGCUCCACGGCGCCCAGUCCCAUCGACCAACCAAGGGCUGAGGAAUGCCAGCGCAGGGUGCAGGACUGGCAGGCAGCUCCACCUGCAGCCCCGGUGUGGGAUCCACUAGGUGAAGCCAGCUGGGCUCCUGAGUCUGGUGGGGACGUAGAGAGUCUUUAUAUCUAGCUCAGGGAUUGUAAACACACCAAUCAGCACCUGUGUUUAGCUCAAGGUUUGUGAGUGCACCAAUCGACUCUGUAUCUAGCUGCUCUGGUGAGGACGUGGAGAACCUUUAUGUCUAGCUCAACGAUUGUAAAUACACCAAUCGGCACUCUGUAUCUAGCUCAAGGUUUGUAAACACACCAGUCAGCACCCUGUGUUUAGCUCAAGGUUUGUAAAUGCACCAAUCGACAAUCUGUAUCUAGCUGCUCUGGUGGGGCCUUGGAAAACCUGUGUGUCAAAACUCUGUAUCUAACUAAUCUGAUGGGGAAGUGGAGAACCUUUGUAUCUAGCUCAGGGAUUAUAAACGCACCAAUCAGCACCCUGACAAAACAGGCCACUCGGCUCUACCAAUCAGCAGGAUGUGGGUGGGGCCAGAUAAGAGAAUAAAAGCAGGCUGCCGGAGCUAGCAUCGGCAACUGGUUCAGGUGGUCUUCCACACUGUGGAAGCUUUGUUCGUUCACUCUUUACAAUAAAUCUUGCUACUGCUCACUCUUUGGGUCCACGCUGCUUUUAUGAGCUGUAACACUCACCGCGAAGAUCUGCAGCUUCACUCCUGAGGCCAGCGAGAUCAGGAGCCCAGCAGGAAGAACAAACAACUCCAGACGCGCUGCCUUAAGAGCUGUAACACUCACCGCGAAGGUCUGCAGCUUCACUACUGAGCCAGCGAGACCACGAACCCACCAGAAGGAAAAAACUCCAAACACAUCUGAACCUCAGAAGGGACAGACUCCAGACGCGCCACCUUAAGGGCUGUAACACUCACCGCCAGGGUCCGCGGCUUCAUUCUUGAAGUCAGUGAGACCAAGAACCCACCAAUUCAGGACACAAUAGCAACCUGUGUAACUCUUCUCUCGGGCCAUUCACUAUAGUUGAGCUAAAUUUCUCUUUGUCAAGCAGGAAAUGCACUGUUUUCCUAAACUGUUUUUUGAAGCCCACUCGUCCCUGAAGUCCAGCAAAAAGGAAUUCUCUUCUUCAUUUAAUUUUCGGAAACACUAUAUUUGCCUUGGAAACUCAAAAUGCACUGAAAUAUAUUAAGGACUUUGAUAUAUUUGUAAUUUAAAAAUCUGUUUCAUUUU
rnacentral:lncRNA from 10 species